rnacentral:rRNA from 1 species
UUGCCAUAGUACUCUUGAGGUGGAAUGCUUACACUUUCGUUUAUACAUUAAAUAUAUAUCUAAUGUAUGACAUUCAUCAUUGUCUGCUUGGACUAUUAGGGUAUCUAAUCCUGUUUGCUACCCAAGCCUUCGUCUCUCAACGUCAGUUAUUACAUAGAAGGACGCCUUCGCCGUUGACAGUCCUCCUGGUAUCAUCAAAUUUUAUCUCUACUCCAGAAAUUCUUCCUUCUCUCAUAUAACUCUAGUAAAAAAGUACUCGUUUAGAGUUUAAUUUACCGUCUACUUACCCUUUAAACCCAAUAAAGAUAACUAACACUAGCCU